GGGGGUGCACUGGCUUCGACGAGUCUAGUGGGGGGUUGUCAGCGUGCCGGGGUUGUCUGGGGCCCCGUUAACAAACCGGGCAAACCAUCAAAUGGCGAAUCUAACUUUGCCAUGGCUGCCUGAUUAAGGUAGCCCGUUGUACUCGAUCCCAUGUCUUCAGGGUCGGGAUACAGCGUCGUUAAAGGAGACUCGGCUUUCCGACGCCUUUAAGGGAAGCUUAAACACAAAGGCUGGCCCUGCCGGUGGCCUGUCGGCCGGCAGCUGUCGGGGCGAGAAAUCAUAGACUGACUACGCACGUAGAAGACGGCUUGACACUAUUCUCGGACGGGGGUUCGAUUCCCCCCACCUCCACUA
rnacentral:tmRNA from 1 species